rnacentral:rRNA from 1 species
UACGGAGGGGGCAAGCGUUGUCCGGAUUUAUUGGGCGUAAAGAGCGUGUAGGCGGCCAAACAGGUCAGCUGUGAAAACUCGAGGCUCAACCUCGAGACGUCGGUUGAAACCGUUUGGCUAGAGUCCGGAAGAGGAGAGUGGAAUUCCCGGUGUAGCGGUGAAAUGCGCAGAUAUCGGGAAGAACACCCGUGGCGAAGGCGGCUCUCUGGGACGGUACUGACGCUGAGACGCGAAAGCGUGGGGAGCGAACAGG